UCAAUCUGAAGUGUUUCUUCUAUAUUUCUCUGCAAUUGGGUGCCUUCUGAUUCUCGAGAAAGGAAAGGGGAGGAAAAAUGAGCAUCUGAGAACCAAAUUGAGUGGUGAUUUGUGUUUGUAUAUUGGAUUGACAGAGAAAGUGGGGAAAAAAAUAAAGGAAUGGAAAACCAUUGGCCUAAAUCCAUGAUUUAGAAGUUCAAAUUCUGUAACUGUUCCAUAUAUCCUAAUUCCUGUGGCUUGAAAAUCAUAUAUUUUCCUUUUCUUUAGGAAAAAAAACAGGGAUAUAUUAUUGCUGAAUACUCUUCAUGUAAUAUUGGGUUAUACCUUGAAA